UAGUAACGGCGAGUGAAGCGGGAUGAGCUCAAGCUUAAAAUCUCUGUGCAAGUUUUGCAUGGCGAAUUGUAGUCUAUAGAGGCGCUGUCAGUGCAGGCAUUUGGGGUAAGUUCCUUGGAAGAGGACAGCAUCGAGGGUGAUACUCCCGUUUGUACCCGAGUGCUUUGUGCGUACGACACGUUUUCUUUGAGUCGCGUUGUUUGGGACUGCAGCGCAAAGUAGGUGGUAAAUUCCAUCUAAAGCUAAAUAUUGGUGCGAGACCGAUAGCGAACAAGUACCGUGAGGGAAAGAUGAAAAGAACUUUGAAAAGAGAGUUAAAGAGUACCUGAAACUGCUGAAAGGGAAGCGAAUCGUAUCCAGUGUCUAUAAUCUGUGGCAUAUUUCAUUGGCGCAUGUGCGCGUGCUGUGUGUUGGAAGUGGCUUUGCUGCUCCGCGUAUGGUUCUGCGUGUGUGUGCUGGUGCCCUGUGUCAUGGUGGGACGUCAGAGUCAGUUCGUAUGCUGCGGGAAAUGGCUAUUGAGGAGGUAGGUCAGGAGCUUGCUCUUGGCUGUUAUAUCUUGGUAGUUAGUCGUCGUGGUUGGGACUGAGGUGCCUACAACGUGCUUUGAGGUCUUGCGGGUUCUUGCUUGGCGGUCUGUCUGGAUAGCUUGCUAUGCUGGUGGCGUCGUCGGGUGAUUGAGUCUGUUUGUAACCUGUGCCGUUC
rnacentral:rRNA from 2 species